GCCGGGUGUGGUGGCGGGCACCUGUAAUCCUAGCUACUUGGGAGGCUGAGGCAGGAGAAUCGCUUGAACCCGGGAGGCAGAGGUGGCAGUGAGCAGAGAUCAUGCCACUGCACUCCAGCCUGGGCAACAGAGCAAGACCCCAUCUCAA
rnacentral:SRP_RNA from 2 species